UGCUGGCCAUGAUGAUGGUGGUGGUGGUGGUGGUAAGGGGAGUUCCUCUGACUCCGACCUCAUGUCUUUGGCAGGAGUUGAAAUGAAUAAUAAAGCUGGGUUUAUGAUUAGAUAGAAUACCAGAGCAGAGAGCAGUUAGAGGGAGAAGCUGUCUUAUUUUAGGAAGCAUGAUGACUUAUUUUUUCAAAUCUGAAUUCUAUAUUCCCCUUUGCUAAGAAUUGGUGGGGGUUUGUUGUUGUUGUUUGUUUCUUAACAAAGUAAAGAGAAGAAGAUUCCCAGAAGCAGAGCUUAAUCAUUUACAUCUAAAAAGGCAAUCAGCAGUUGAUUUUAGGGUGGCAGCGUCCUGCCAAGGCCUUAGGAGAAGACCGAGGGAAACCUCCCAAGCCUCGGAUAACUGGCCUGGAGGGUGUGCAGGUUACCUCCAGCAUGGGCACAUCUGCCUUGCCCCAUGGAGAAUGUUAACAAGCUACCUGCUGUUUUCCCUUCUGCUUCUAUGCAGGACAGCUUCUGAAAUCCUAAACUGCACAGGGUGUCAUUCCAAAAACAGAGAGAUAGUAGCUGCUAAAUUAGAGAACCCAGAGGGCACAAGGUUGGGUUUUGUUUUUCCAGGAAAGAGCGUGAAACUGGAGCAUCUGACUAGUGCCCCACAUAGGGAGGCUCACUGGGUUUUGGGUAACUCAUCCCCAUGGGAUCUACUCUGCUCUCAUCCACACCUGCCAGAAGGGGUCAGGGUGAAGGCCGAUGGACAGCAGUGCUGACCCGCAUGAAGUGGACUUUCCAUGAAUAACAUCCAGAUGUUUGGGUGGGGGUGCCGAGGGAGGGUUAGUUGGCUGACUAGAAUUAGGGACAGCCGCGUGCAAAUUGCUUUUAUAACGUUAGAGAGGCUGAGGCUGCUGGCUUCUAGUCACACAGCCUACAGGACAGCCCCUCAUUUCACAAGAGCAGGUUUCUGAUGCAUGAUCUAGCCCCACCCCUUCUUCACAGGCAGCUGUACUUGGAAGCAAAUGAUUUAGUGUUCCUGAGAGAGGAUUGUACAAAGAGAGUACUCAUUAGAGGGGGCUCAAUCUGUCAGGUGCUGUUAUAUCAGGAUCAGAGAGUCAUCAUAAAAUGACUUUCAUGCUGGUCUUGGCUGAUAAUUAACUGCAUGGCAUCGCCUGUGUAUUAUGGAGAGGCACGGGCGCUGAUUUAUGCAUCCGUUUAAUUAUCUGAAUUGAAAGACUCUGUUCCCUGUAUUUGCAUCCACUGCCUGCGUGCUUUCUCUCUCCCCCAUAUUUCUGACAUUUGGAUUUUCCCCCUACUAAUUGACAUGCCUGUCGCCUCCUUCUCCUGGUGUCCAUUUCUGGAACUGCUAUUUGUAUAUUGCAUGAUAUUUUAUCAGGAAAAAAAAUAAAACAGAUCUAAUUUCAUGAAAAUGCUGUUGCCAUAAUGCUCAGGAGAACAGGGGGAAGAGAGAGAUUCAAGUCUUCCUAAUGUCUACCUUAUAUGCAGAGCCUUGGAAAGAUGGGCAAAUGCUCUGUGACAAGCCACCAGGGCAGACUGGUACUGGGAAGACCCUAGUAUACAUUUGGCUCUGUCCCUGGCUGGAAAGUUACAAGUCAGUCUACCUCUCUGUGGUCCAGUUUCCACACCUACUACUCUUUAUCCCAUGAGGAACUUCUGGAAACUAAAAAAGCAACCAUUACCUUCAAGAUAGAGAAGAGCAGAAGAUGAGAAUUUAAAGGCAGAGGCUUGGGAACCUUCAUAUUUAUGAGAUCACAGAAGCCUUUUUGGACCACUCAAUAUAAAACAGCAACGGACUCCACCCUGGUACACCCUAACACCCAGCCUGUUUCAUUUUUCUCUGUUAUAUUUAUCACCAUCUGAGACCAGUGGUUCACCCAGGAAUGGACACUUUUCACAAUUUUGGUCAGUGAGGUGAAGUCUGGAACUUCUGGAGUAGUGUUUUCAGCCCUUAAGAAAAUGGAAAUAAGAAAAAUACCAAUUUUUCUGUCUCUAAAUGUCACCGUGUGAGGAUAUGAUACUGGGAACAGCCAUCUUGUGAUCUUGAAGCAAAGGCCAAGAUGAUUGCAGAGAUGGUUGACAUCAUUGAGCUCCUGACUGAACUUCCCUGGAAUUUCCUGGUGCCUAGACUUCCUGUCGGAGUAUCAAGCCACACAUCUAAAUCUACAUGUCUCUAAUUUUCAAGAACUUUUAAGUCUGAUAAUAUUUGUAGUAAAGAAUUUGGUACGUUUUUACUUCAUCUAUUCUCUACUUGUUUUACUUCUUACCUGCCAUUAAUUGACCUGGGAUAUUAGAUCCAUUUUUAAAUUACAUGACUAAUUGUGUAAUAUGCCAUUGUUUUUUAAAGAACCAUAGUGACUUGUGCAUUUAUGUUUCUAAUUAAUAUUUAUAAGCAGCGUACCUCACUCUAUAUAGUUAAUGGUUUUAAUAUUUACUGUAGAUCUUUUUUAUUCUUAAGUUGUUUUGUUUUACGUUUUCAUCUCCAUCAGUUGAAGUACACCUUUACUUUGUUUUAUUUUAGUAAAUAUAUUCAAGAAUUCCAUUUUUUUGACUACUUGCAUUGUGAGAAUUGUUUUUAUUGCUUAACACAUAAUACUACUUAAUUGGGGUAUAAGAUUCUUAUAAUACGUCCCAGAUACAUUACUUAGAAAACUAAAAGGAGUCAACUGGAAUAUUAUUAGAACCAAGGCGGAAGUUUCACCAUGUGGUUGGUUCUGAUAUAAGUGUGCAUCUGUGGCCUUUCCUAAACCAGAGAAACUGUUUGUUGAGAAAUGUUAAAUGGCGACACUAUAGAUAUGAUGUAUUUUUUAUUCUUUUUUUCUUAAUUUUUCCCCCAAACUUUGCCCUCAACCAUGGUAUAGUGAAUUUCCCAUCUGUAUCUUUCAAUAACAUCUUAGGCAAAUUCUACAAUGUUUUCUGUAUUAACGUGUAUCUAGAUUAAAGAUUCAAUCAUAAACUUGAUUUAAAUGACUUCUUUCUUCCCAAUACAGGUCUGAUCCAUGGCGCUAAGGAUCUAAGUGUGAAGUAAGACCUGGUUAGCUCUUUUAAUUACACUCUUCCUUCUGCUCUAUGUAUAGCUUUUUAGGCUUGGAGCCAGCUAUGCUAAAACUGCAGAAGGUGGUUCCAGGCUUAAGGGACUAGCAAACAAAAAUGUUCUGAUGAGGUGAAAAGUUUGGUGUGGUUCUAGAAACUGUUAAAAGCCAAAUAAACUUGAGGUUAGUUUUAUAAGAGUC